UAUUUUUCAAAUGGACAUUUGAACCGUAUGGAUUCAGUGGCACCGAUUUAAUGGUUUCUCUUCUUUGUUUUUACAGAAACAAACUGUCACUGCUGUCAGAAAAGAGAUCAUGUAUUACCAACAGGCCUUAAUGAGGUCCACAGUGAAGUCUUCGGUGUCUCUUGGAGGAAUUGUCAAGUACAGUGAGCAGUUCUCAUCCAACGAUGCCAUCAUGUCGGGCUGCCUUCCGAGCAAUCCUUGGAUAACAGAUGACACCCAGUUCUGGGAU